GAUGAACGCUGGCGGCGUGCCUAAUACAUGCAAGUCGAGCGAAUGGAUUAAGAGCUUGCUCUUAUGAAGUUAGCGGCGGACGGGUGAGUAACACGUGGGUAACCUGCCCAUAAGACUGGGAUAACUCCGGGAAACCGGGGCUAAUACCGGAUAACAUUUUGAACCGCAUGGUUCGAAAUUGAAAGGCGGCUUCGGCUGUCACUUAUGGAUGGACCCGCGUCGCAUUAGCUAGUUGGUGAGGUAACGGCUCACCAAGGCAACGAUGCGUAGCCGACCUGAGAGGGUGAUCGGCCACACUGGGACUGAGACACGGGCCAGACUCCUACGGGAGGCAGCAGUAGGGAAUCUUCUGCAAUGGACGAAAGUCUGACGGAGCAACGCCGAGUGAGUGAUGAAGGCUUUCGGGUCGUAAAACUCUGUUGUUAGGGAAGAACAAGUGCUAGUUGAAUAAGCUGGCACCUUGACGGUACCUAACCAGAAAGCCACGGCUAACUACGUGCCAGCCGCCGCGGUAA
rnacentral:rRNA from 1 species